rnacentral:lncRNA from 1 species
UAGACAUUGGGAGAAAAAACUCUAUGUAUAUAUGUGUUACGAAUUUUGUACUUAUAAAACUAUAUAUAAAGCUUUUUACAUAUCUAUUUAAUUUUUGAUGUGGCCUAUUCAUUUUAUUAUAGGCAAAGCUUAAUUAUAAAGCUAAGCCUCUAAUUUUCAUUUAUAUAUGCUUAAUAUGCGUGUAAUAUAAAUAUAUUAUUGUAUCAGCAAAAAAUAUGUAUUAAAAACCUAUUAUUAUUAUAUAAAACAAAAAAUAGAACCGAAGAAGUGAAUCAAAAAAAAAAAAUCCUUUAACACCGGUUGGUAGGGUCCUGCAACGUGGCAACCUGUCAGGACCCUUUAAAACCGGUUGGUAUUACCAACCGGUGUUAAAGGGGGGGGCUUUAGCCCCGGUUCCCCGAACCGGGACUAAAGGGUGGGCCUUUAGUCCCGAAAGGGCAGCACCGGCUCGGAAACCGGGGCAACAGGCCCUUCUCGACCGGUGCUAAUGCCCGAACGUGCAGCAGUGAUGUAUAUAGGCCCCAUGUGGACAAUCAGCCCUUAAAAUAAAAACCUCACAUUCUCACCUUAAAAUUUUAGCUAAAUCUACUCAAAAAUUUUAAGAUGACUUUAUAAUUGCUUGCUACUUUAAUUUGUGCAUAUCGAUGUGACUAGAUAUGGGCCCAAGAUAUAAACAUGAAGUAUACAUUAAAAAUUGAUGUACC